rnacentral:sRNA from 1 species
AAUCGCUGCCCUCGGGGCCUCCAGCGCCGGCUCUGGGCCGAGGCAGCCGGAGCGCGGAAGAGGCCUGGAAAUCCACGCGGAUUCCCGGAGACGGCGCCUCUGCUCUGCGGGUUCGUGACGAGGAAGUCCACCCACUGCUCCCGGGCGCAGGUCUGCAGGUCCGCGCCCACUGCCCGCGGCGCCACUGACCAUGUCGGGGUCAUCCUCUCGAAGGUGUUCGAUGAAGUCAUUGAAGUGAAUCUAAUCGAUAGUGCCGACUACAUCCACCUGGCCUUUCUGAAGAGACCUGAGCUCGGGCUCACCCUCACCAAGCUUCACUGUUGGACUCUCACUCACUACAGCAAGUGUGUCUUCCUGGAUGCGGACACUCUGGUGCUGUCCAAUGUCGAUGAGCUGUUCGACAGGGGAGAGUUUUCUGCGGCCCCGGACCCCGGAUGGCCAGAUUGCUUCAAUAGCGGGGUAUUUGUCUUCCAGCCUUCUCUCCACACGCAUAAACUCCUGCUGCAGCACGCCAUGGAACACGGCAGCUUUGAUGGGGCAGACCAAGGCUUACUGAAUAGUUUCUUCAGGAACUGGUCGACCACAGACAUCCACAAGCACCUGCCGUUCAUCUAUAACUUGAGUAGUAACACGAUGUACACUUACAGCCCUGCCUUCAAGCAAUUCGGUUCCAGUGCAAAGGUCGUCCACUUUUUGGGGUCCAUGAAACCUUGGAACUACAAGUACAAUCCACAGAGUGGCUCGGUGUUGGAGCAAGGCUCAGCGUCCAGCAGCCAGCACCAGGCGGCAUUCCUUCAUCUCUGGUGGACGGUCUACCAGAACAACGUGCUGCCCCUUUAUAAAAGCGUCCAAGCGGGGGAAGCACGCGCGUCUCCUGGUCACACACUUUGCCGCAGUGAUGUGGGGGGGCCGUGUGCGGAUUCAGCCUCUGGUGUUGGAGAGCCGUGUGAAAAUUCAACACCCAGUGCCGGCGUGCCGUGUGCAAAUUCACCACUGGGUUCUAACCAGCCUGCUCAGGGCCUUCCGGAGCCGACCCAGAUAGUGGAUGAGACCCUGUCCCUACCUGAAGGACGCCGUUCAGAAGAUGUCGACCUGGCCGUCUCUGUUUCCCAGAUCUCCAUCGAAGAGAAGGUGAAGGAAUUGAGCCCCGAGGAAGAGAGGAGGAAGUGGGAGGAAGGCCGUAUCGACUACAUGGGGAAGGACGCGUUUGCUCGCAUCCAGGAGAAGCUGGACCGGUUCCUGCAGUAAUCCGGCAGCUGGUGGGCGUUGUGUGUAGUUAGACAAUGUCCUGUUGGGUGGUCCUGUUGCGUGGAGAUCUCCUCUGGUCCUUUCAAAGGGAAACGCUGUUGAACCUUGUGCCUCUAUUUAUGCUUAAUCCAUUUGAGUGCCUCACACAAAAAACGUAGAGUAUAGAAAUCCACCUUAAAGCCCCUCGCCCCAACUUCUCCACCAAUGCCUUCAGAGGUCACUUCUACCCUUGAACCUGUCGGCAAAAGCGAGCAGCAAUAACAUUCUAGUAGACCCUUGAUGGUGGUCUCCGCUCUUGCCCGACGGACCUCUGAAGUACGCUGGAGCUGUGUUGUACAGGUGCUGUGAGACCUACCCUAUUUAGAAUGAAACCUCACUGCCAAUUUCCUCCCAUCACGAAGCUAACAACACUAAUAUACGUAUUUAGCACCUCUGAGGCUUUGCCAUGGAGACCCAUUUCUGUAGGGCUAAGGAAACAUUUAGACGUGGUGACUGACUUUCAUUUGGACUAGGCGAAGCGUAUCUGAGAAACACCUCGGCUGUGGUCUCUCUGCUUUAAAUCCUAACAGGACUUCCUAGAGCGUUGACAGAAAUUCUACUCGUGGACGUUGGGAAGAAAGAUUGUAGGUGGCUUGGGGAAUGUGGGUGGCUUAGAGGAUCUAAACCGAUUCACUUCCUGGUUGAGAAGCAUCCAGGGCUUGGCCCUAAACGAUUUAGAGCAACAGUUUGCUCAGGAUAACAGGAUCUAGAGAUGCUCUCUGCUUGACAACAAAAGUCAGGGUGCAGUCGGUCCGCCCUUGACUGCUCUUGGCUUGGUCUCUACCCCCACUACCUCCGUUCUCAAUAACUUAGUGAAUCACUGCCCUCCUCAAAGCCAUUUCCACUCAGCUCUUUCCAGAGAAUUCUCAGUUUUAUGAGACGGGAAACUUUAUUUCACGAGAAAGCCUCGUUGUCAGAAGUAUCUUCAUUCAAUGGGCACAAUAUGCUGUGUAUCUCACCAGGUAGCUGUGUUUACGUGGAGAGGCGUGGCCACUUUUUAGGUCACCUGAAGCAGUUUAGCCUUUGGAUAGAGGAACCUGCCUGAAUUUAGGGCAUUAGUGGUGGCAUUUUUUUGUGUACAAGAUGUGGGUGAUGCAGGGGCUGUUUCUUUUUCCGUGUGGGUGGUUAAUAAUCGUCAGUCUCAGAGGGCGAUGCUCGUAGGAUAUUUCAGGGCUUAAUUUAAAAUAGCCAUAUGGAUACAGUCUCAGGUGAGUCAGGGUUGGAUGGUCAUCGGCUUUCAGACGGAGACCACGGGAAUGUUCAGGGAAAAAAUGUCAGCUUCUCUGAGGACCAGAAUUCAUGUUCAUGGGCAGUGAUGAGUUGGCUUAUGGAGUGAGUCCAGUCUGGAAUUCCGCCGUGCAUUCUAGCCUGUAUCAUCUCAUUUGGACAAAUGCUGGCACGUUGAAAUUAAAAUGUUAAAAAAC